rnacentral:rRNA from 1 species
AGAGUUUGAUCCUGGCUCAGAAUCAACGCUGGCGGCGUGCCUAACACAUGCAAGUCGAGCGAGAAGGGGAGCAAUCCCUGAGUACAGUGGCGCACGGGUGAGUAACACGUGACUAACCUACCCCUGGAGUGGGGAAUAACUGAGGGAAACCUAGCUAAUACCGCAUAAUACCUACGGGUCAAGGAGCAAUCGCUCAGGAGGGGGUCCGCCGAUAGCUAGUGGCGGGUAUGCCCACAAGCAUGAUCGUAUCCGGCCGAGAGGCCACGACCCCUGAACGAAACCGUNAACUCUACGGAGCGCAUGGGAAUUGCCAUGGGAACCUACCGCACCCCGUGAGAUAAUCUGGAUUACUCUCACGACAUAUACGUACGAGAAAGCCCGCUACUCCGCACGCCCGUAUACAGGGGGCAGCGUGUCGAAAUAUGGGCGUUAAGGAC